rnacentral:rRNA from 1 species
CAAGUCGCGGGAGAAAGCCCCUUCGGGGGCGAGUAGACCGGCGGACGGCUGAGUAACGCGUGAGUGACCUACCCCGAGGCGGGGGGCAACUCAGGGAAACCUGGGCUAAUACCGCAUACAGCGGCGGGUGUAGAGGCCCGUCGUGAAAGUUGACCUCUCCCCGAAGUCAACGCCUCUGGACGGGCUCGCGUCCUAUCAGCUCGUUGGUGAGGUAACGGCUCACCAAGGCGAUGACGGGUAGCUGACGUAAGAGCGUGGUCAGCCAGACUGGGACUGAGACACGGCCCAGACUCCUACGGGAGGCAGCAGUGGGGAAUCUUGCACAAUGGGCGAAAGCCUGAUGCAGCGACGCCGCGUGGGGGAGGAAGGCCGAGAGGUUGUAAACCCCUGUCGGGCGGGAAGAAACCUCCAGCGUCGACAAGGCGAUGGAAUUGACGGUACCGCCGGCAGGAAGCUCCGGCUAACUCCGUGCCAGCAGCCGCGGUAAAACGGAGGGAGCAAGCGUUGUCCGGAAUCACUGGGCGUACAGCGCGUGGAAG